UGAUUGAUUGGCUAUAGUCCUUGAAUGGC
rnacentral:piRNA from 1 species